UACAGAGGUCUCAAGCGUUUGUUCGGAUUCAUUGGGCGUAAAGGGUGUGUAGGUGGCGCGCUAAGUCGGGUGUGAAAUUUCGGAGCUUAACUCCGAAACUGCAUUCGAUACUGGCGUGCUUGAGGACUGGAGAGGAGACUGGAAUUUACGGUGUAGCAGUGAAAUGCGUAGAUAUCGUGAGGAAGACCAGUGGCGAAGGCGGAUCUCUGGACAGUUCCUGACGCUGAGGCGCGAAGGCCAGGGGAGCAAACGGG
rnacentral:rRNA from 1 species